rnacentral:rRNA from 1 species
ACGGGGGGUGCAAGCGUUGUUCGGAAUCAUUGGGCGUAAAGCGCGUGUAGGCGGCUUGGUAAGUCAGGUGUGAAAGCCCUGGGCUCAACCCAGGAAGUGCACUUGAUACUGUCUUGCUUGAGUACGGGAGAGGAAAGCGGAAUUCCUGGUGUAGAGGUGAAAUUCGUAGAUAUCAGGAGGAACACCGGUGGCGAAGGCGGCUUUCUGGCCCGAUACUGACGCUGAGACGCGAAAGCGUGGGGAGCAAACAG